AGGAGAGGGCUUCCGUUUCCGGGCCCCGCCAGAACACCCCAGCAGGUGUCAGGGACAGGGCAGUAUUCCAGCUUCAGCCUGUCUACCUCUGGAGCUCUCCUGAUCAAUACAUCAGAGAAGAUGAUGGAGCCCUCCUGCCGCUCUUGGGGAGAGUUGCGUCGCUGCUGUCAUCGAUGCCGUGCUGGACCUCACAGCGAUAGAUACCUGAGUCGUUGGGGCGCAGCUCGCUCAGCGCCAGGGAGACAUCGGUGAGCGACGCUGGGUACGCAGGCAGUGCCACGCGGAACCGGUAGGCCUCGUUCACCUUGACGCGCACUCCCCGCGCCACCAGCACCUCUGCCUCCCGGCCCCCGGACAGGAAAGUCCACUUGACCCGCGGAGAGCCCAGCACAGCCCGGCGGCUCGGCGGUGGCCGCAGGUAGUGGACGUGGCAAGGGAUGGUGAGGGCGCCGCCGAGCACGCCCUGCAGUGGUGCGUCGCCCGCGAUGCGCACGCGAAAAGCGCGGUCCUCUGUGAACGGGUGGAGCCGGCUGGAACUUAACGCUGUCGACCCUCAGAGUCCCACCCGGUGGCCUCCAAGCCCCGCUCCAGGAUCCCUCCUUCCGGCCCCAGGAUUCCCCGGCCCCCCUAGGACCAGGGGCCAGGGGCCAGGGUCCAGGGUCCUGCAGCCCUACCUCUAGGUCCUCCAGGACCACCCCGACGGUCUCCAGACCCAUCCCCCAAAGUCUCCCAGUCAAUUCAGCCCCCAGGAUUCCUUGCCCUGCUCUCAGAGUCUUCCACUUCCUCUCCAAAAUUCCUAGACCACACCCCAGGGUCCUCCAACCUCGCCCCCUGAGUCCUCCAGCCCAGUUUCCCAGUCUGCUCCCUUUAGGGCCUCCUUCAGGGUUUCUCCCAGUUCCACCCCUUUCCCACCUCCUAGCUUCAGGAUCCCCUAUCCUCCACCUUAGGGGCCCAAAGCCUUGCACCCAGUGCCCUUCCCUAGUCCUGCCCCGUGAUUUCUCCAACCCACCUCACAGCUCAGCCCUUAUUUCCAAGUGUUCCAGCCUGGAUGCUUCCCCACAGCCCUCCAAUUCUCUCUCUUCCUGGGGCCCCUAAGCCUGGAAGCAGUUGGUUAGGGCUGAACAAGACAGAGACGGUGACCCCAAGUGGGGUUGCUUACCUGAGCUGUCUCCUUCCAGAACAUCUGCUAAAGCUGCAGGAGCCUGGGCCAGGACCAGGGCUGCCAGCAGGGGCAGGAAGAGCUGGGCCAUGCUGCAGGCUGACAGAGGGACAUGAGAAGGAAAGAUGGGGUUAGACUUCAGGAUGGACUUCCCCCCUGCUCCCUACCACACCCAUGUGGGUUCACACAUAUCCUGGCUUCAGAAGUCCCCUACCUUCACAUCACCAUGGACUCUCUGUUUCUGAUCCCCAUCUUCCCAGCAAGUGAUUUCUUCUCAGAUCCAAAACCCGAGUCCUAGUCAACUCACUGUGUGACCUAAGCCAAGCUCCUUACCUUCUCUGAGCCUUUAUUUUCUUACUUAUAAAAAAGCAUCAUCAUUACUAUCUCAUGAGUUGAGAUAGGACCAUGUGCUUUGAGAGUGUUUAGUAUCUUAAAAAUCCUGUACAAAUGCAUAGCACCAGGCAGACAGUAGGAGCUCAGUUUAUAGCAUGAAUGGUGGGUGCUUUUAUACUCAGAAUUCCAUCUGCUCCUCCCAGUGCCAGACUCCUUCCUCGAACCCAGAGCCUUCUCCCAUAGUAUCUCUUUAGCCUCUUCUGCCUUCUAGACUGUCCCUGCCUCCAGGGACACCAUACUCACCUGGCCUUUUCCAGGAGGGCCUCCUAGACUGAACGCAAGUAAGCACAGCUUCUCCUGAGCCCACCCUCUCCUCUACUUCCUCCCCACCAUUAUGUGUAAGGAAACUCUUCUCUUUACUCCCCAACAUUCUCCAUCCCCCUUCCUUGGCUGCCUCCUCCCUUCUUCUUCCCAGCCUCUCCUUUCUGCCUGGCACGGGCUUUCCCACCGGAACUCUUGGCUCAGAAAUCAGUUGGGACAAAGCCCCUGUCUCUGCCAGUCUGGCCUCUAUCCAGCCCCUCCCUUCCCCCACCCUACCUUUUGUGAAAGCCUUGGGCUGGAGGGUGGACUAAGGGGGGUGAGAAUAAAUGGGAGGGGCUACCCCUUCCUACCCCUGGCUAUCAGAAGCUCUAGAACCCAGAAUAUUCCUCCAAAGAUCUCGAAGCACUUACACUCUCAUAAAAAGGAUGUGUUGUGACAUUGAGAAAUGGAGACUGAGGCUCAGAGAAGGAUAGGGCUGACCCUGGAUCCCUAGUAAAGCCAAGUCAGGCACGAGGGCAAUGUGCUCCCAGGAGAGAAGACUCAGAGCUACAUCAUCUUGAAGGGUUGGGCUAAACUUAGAAGAGCAUGGAGAUCCAGGUAUGCCAUGGAAUAGGCCAAUGAUGCAGCAAGAGAAUUGAAGGUUAGACUACAGGCAGGACUUCCUAGAGAUCAGGUUUAUUCCACUGGCUGGGCACUCCCAUUCCAGGCCCACUGUUUAUCCCCCAUCUUCCCUGCCCUCUCAGCGUCUGCCUUCAUACCUGUCCCUGCACUUUCCUAAGCCUGAGAUGAUGGGAAAUUUCCUACUUUUCCCAGAUCCUCCCACCUCCCUGCCAUCAUAACCCCCAUCUCCCCCACUGUGUCUGGAUAUCAUUCCCUAGGGUCAGAGUUGGGAGAGGAGUGGCACAACCAGAUGCUUAGGGCCUCUCUCUGACCUUUCAGAGGGACGAGGUUCUUGAUGGGGCCAGAUUAGAGGUGGGGAGACCAGCUCCAGGCAUCGGGGUGCUUGGGAGGACUGUUCUGGGGCUGGAGUGGGGACCAUUGGGCAGGAGCAGCCAGUGCCCACCGGGUGCUGGGAAGACUGUUUGCCAUGCAUCUGAGCUGUGCCAGGGCCUGGGCCUGGCCCCCUUCUGGUGCCCUCCCUCCCUUCUCUCUGGGCUGGAGCUGGAGCUGCUCACAGACCUGGCUCCCAUCUCUCUGACGGGCAGCCCAGAGACCCAUAUAGUUGGAGUCAUUUUGGGGCCAACACCCUGGACCACCCUUUCACCUCUGUCUGACAGUGGGAGAGUGAGGGAAGAGGGCCUAAGGCCAGUGAGGACCUAACUGCUCUGGAACAUGGAGGGCAACCUACCCUUGACCCCAAAAAUGGGAGUCAUUGACCAGUGAGGCCAAGAGGGUAGCCCCGUGCAGUUCUGAGAGAGCUCUGUCUCUCCAGUCUCGGGCCUCAGCCUCCCAAUUGCAGCUAGGAGCCCUGAGGAAACUCAGACUUCCCCACAUCUGGUACCAGCCUCGGAACCCAGGGGUCCAGGGUUCUGUGGCCUUCUCUAUCCCACACACCACUCAUCUCCACUUCCUCUUCUCUUCCUCCAGAGCAGGCCACACCUCUCCAACUCUAACCCUGAGAGCUCAGCAGUCAUGCGGUCCGUUCCCUUGACGCCACAACAUCCCCCUCUCUGUUUCAGCUCCAGCGUCUGUAUCUCUGCCCUUGUUUUGAAUUUCUUGAGCUGUUCAGGAAACUUUCCUCUUGUCACAUCAUUUCUGUCUGACCCUGGAUGUCCAUCUCCUUCACAGUCUUCAUAGACCCAACCCAGAGAGUUAAGACCAGGUCUCUCUCUCUCUCUCUCUCUCUCUGUGUGUGUGUGUGUGUGUGUGUGUAGGCAUGCACGUGUGUACACACAUCUAACAACACCCACCACCUCCAUGCUGAAUGCCCAUCAGCCGGCAGCCAAGGUCUGUCCCAUAGGAACUGAGCUCCAGCACUCAGCAGGGUCAGCAGGGAGGCACAAGAAGCCAGAGCUUUGGCUAUAGCAGGAGGGAAGCUCUCUGCUACCCCCUUAACGGCUUCAUGAGGAGCAACAUGAGCCUACACAAUAUAAGCAGGGCCUUAGGGCCUGUAGGAGUAAUUGCAAUCAUCAUAUAAAUAGUCCUUUUUAUUGGAAGCAAAACUAAUAAUACUAUUAGCAAUGACACCAGCCGAGCAGUUGCAGAUCCCUCUCGUAAAGAAUCUGAAAUGUGGAUGAUGCUGUUAUAAAUAGCAAAGUUAGCCAUAGCAACAUAGGCACUGGUAAUACUGUGGGUGGGUCUAAGGGUAACACUGUUCCCUGAUCUUACUGUCAUCAUCUGCAAUCUAAGUAAUGCAGAUAAUAAUGGUGCCCCUUGGACUUGACGCCAAUCUCUUGGUCCUAUUAGAACCAUGUAGGCAGAGCUAUUCCAAUAGGUGGGGGAAUACCUGACAGGAUAUGGAAAUACCUGGGAGAGGGAAUUCCCAGGCCCCUGGCAGUGCUAGGAAGGAAUGCAAUAGUGGUAACCGAAUUCCAGCUAAUAGUUACUGAUGUCUACCUGAGCCAGUUCUCCUAAAUGCUUCCUGUGGAUAACCUCAACUGUGAGAAAAAGAUUGUUUAUGUUUUGCUCAUGACACCGAUGAGGAACCCGAGGUUCAGAGAAGUCAACUAACUACCCCAAGGUCACAGAGCAAGGAGCCGAGUUGGGAUUCCAGCCGAAAUGGGCACCCCGACCACCCCCUAGAGCGGCUCUGAUCGGCUGUCCUGCCGGACUACAGUAAGGUGUCCCCAGAAGGGUUGCUGGCCGCUGCUCCUGGAGCUGCCAGUGCGUGGGGGCACGGAGGCAAGGACUGAUCCGGAACGCUACCGCCCUGCCUGGGACAAGGUCGGAAAUCUCGGCGGCCGCGCUGGGACAGGAGCGCGCAGCAGGGAAGACGCGAGGACCCGAGGGGUUGCUGAUCAGACUGCGAGCAGCAGGGGGGCUGCCACUGGCAGAGCUGGAAGCAUGUAGAUCAGAGAUGGCAGCAGCAGCUGCAGGCGCUCGGGGCUGUCCGGCAGCCUACCCCGCUGCGGUGUCAGGAGUCGACGAGUUGGGUGCCCCAGAGCCUCGAGGCAAGGGCUGACAGGCGGGGGGCGCAGACCAGGCAGGCACUCCCUUCUCCCUGUCCCCGACCCCACGGCGGGCGGCGGGGCUGCGGAGGCACUCACCUACCCAGGGCUGGGGUUGGGUCGCGGCACUGCGAAGUUUGUCGCCUCCUCCGGGGGUCUCCUCCGGGUGCACGGCUCAGUCCUGCAGCUGCAGCUGAGACUGCGGCGGAGACUGCGCGAGCGUGAGGAGAGGCUGGGGCCGCAGGACAUUCGGAAGAGGGCGCCGGCCCUCCCGGCGCAGCACAAAACCCCCUUUCUUCCCCCCGCCCCUGCCCCGCCCUCCCCGGGGCCGCCCCCGCCCCCUGGUCGGGAGCGCGGGGCUCUCGGGACGGUCACGGGACCCGCUGCCUUCUCUGCUUCGGCUCCCGGCAGCAGCGGCAAGAGCAAGGACGAGCGAAAUAGGACAUCGUUCAGCGGAUGAGAAGCCGAGGGCUUGGAGUAGGGAGGAGGGGCAGGAGGGGCGGGGAGGGAGCGUUCGCCCAGCGUUCGCUGAGCUAAAGGAUGACGAUGUUGCAGCUGGAGGGGUGGAAGUUGGACAACUGGAGGGUCUUCUCGUUGUUCAAAGAAGGAGGAGGAGGGAGUCAAUUAGACUGUAAGAAGUGGAUGAAAGGAGAAUGGGGGCUUUGCUCCUGAAAAGAGACACCCUCUCUAAUAAAAAAAAAAUGGAAAACUC